rnacentral:rRNA from 1 species
UACGUAGGGUGCGAGCGUUAAUCGGAAUUACUGGGCGUAAAGUGUGCGCAGGCGGCCGCGCAAGUCGAGUGUGAAAGCCCCGGGCUUAACUUGGGAAUUGCGCUCGAAACUACGUGGCUAGAGUGUGGCAGAGGGAGGUGGAAUUCCACGUGUAGCGGUGAAAUGCGUAGAUAUCCGGAGGAACACCGGUGGCGAAGGCGGCUUCCUGGACCGAUACUGACGCUGAGGCGCGAAAGCGUGGGGAGCAAACAGG